UGUCCUGGAGGAGACGUGGAGACAGCUCAGAGGCUGUCCCGGAGAAGACGUGGAAAGAGCUCAGAGGCUGUCCCAGAGAAGACGUGGAGAGCUCAGAGGAUGUCCCAAACAAGAGAGAGCUCAGAGGCUGUCCCAGAGAAGACGUGGAGAGAGUUCAGAGGCUGUCCCGGAGAAGACGUGGAAAGAGCUCAGAAACUCAGAGACUGUCCCGGAGAAGACAUGGAAACAGCUCAGACGCUGUCUGCAAGAAGACGUGCAGAGAGUUCAGAGGCUGUCCCGGAGAAGACAUGGAGAGAGCUCAAAGGCUGUCCACAAGAAGAUGUGGAGAGAGUUCAGAGGCUGUCGUUACUGCUGCACUUGGCUGUUUUUCUUUGGAUAAUUAUUGCCAUCAAUUUUAGUAAUUCAGGUGUUAAAUCACAGUCAAGCACCUAUUUACCUAGUGGUCCUCUUUCCAAAUACAGCCCCAUUCUGAGGUACUAGAGGUGAGGACUUCAACAUAAAUUUGAGGCAACACAAUUCUGUCCAUGACAAUUGUCCACCUUAGUUUUAUGGUGAACCAAGGCUGUGAAAAAGACUUGACUUGGGGCCGGGCAUGGUGGCUCACGCCUGUAAUCCCUACACUUUAGGAGGCCAAGGUGGGUGCAUAACCCAAGGUCAGGAGUUCAAGACCAGCCUGGCCAACAUGAUGAAACCCCAUCUCUACUAAAAAUACAAAAAGAAUGAGCUGGGCUUGGUGGCGGGUGCCUGUAAUCCCAGCUACUCAGGUGGCUGAGACGGGAGAAUUGCUUGAACCCGGGAAGCGAAGGUUGCAGUGAGCCGAGACUGCACCACUGCACUCAAGCCUGGACAACAAGAGCGAAAUUCUGUCUAAAAAAAAAAAAAAAAAAAAAAAGACUUGACUGAAGGCAGUGACCUAAGAGUGAAGCGAUAACAGCUGGCAACUGUUCCGCAAGAAGGUGCAAAGCCCCUGCAGGCCUGGGAAGGUGCAGAGCCUGCACCUCAGAUUUGACUCCUCUCAUAGAAUCAUGGAAUUUAAGUGAACCUCUUCCAGUAUUAGGGAAUCUUGAAUGGAAACUCUAAUAUCUUAAUCCCCAGUGUAACAAACUUUUACUACAUUGUUCUCAUGAUGACAAAUGUCUCAUCAGAAAAUGGCUUAAAAGUAUAAUUAUUAUGAAAGCAGACUGGCUUAUUUAAAACAAACAUAAUCUGAAAACUGUAAUCCAAAAAGUAGACAUCCA
rnacentral:lncRNA from 1 species